rnacentral:rRNA from 1 species
AUGAAGUAUGAACCCAUUUUUAUCCAGUUUACGUGGAUUGGCUGCCCACAGAAGUACAUCGUGAGGGGCAGGCAGAACCUCUUCCCACAGCUCCCUAAAGUGUUCAAGGGUGUCAAGCAGAUCGGAGUCAUCGGCUGGGGCUCCCAGGGUCUAGCGCAGGCCCAGAACCAGAGAGAUUCUUUGGUUGAAGCCAAGUAUGACAUCAUCUUUAAGAUCGGUCUCGGGAAAGGUUCUAAAUCUUUUGAGGAAGCACGUGCAGCUCGGCUCACUGAGGAGAACGGGACAUUGGGAGAGAUACGGGAGACGGUUUUCGGCAGAGAUCUUGUGCUUCUGCUCAUCUCAGAUUCUGCACAGGUGCGCAUCAUGAUUAGGCUCAGUUCCAGGACGAUUUUUCCUUGCAUCAUGUUGGUUUAA